CAGUCGCCGCGGUAAUACGAAGGGGGCUAGCGUUGUUCGGAAUUACUGGGCGUAAAGGGCGCGUAGGCGGCCAUUCAAGUUAGAUGUGAAAGCCCUGGGCUCAACCUAGGAAUUGCAUUUGAUACUGUUUGGCUUGAGUUCGGGAGAGGUGAGUGGAAUUCCCAGUGUAGAGGUGAAAUUCGUAGAUAUUGGGAAGAACACCGGUGGCGAAGGCGGCGACCUGGUCCUUUACUGACGCUGAGGCGCGAAAGCGUGGGGAGCAAACAGGAUUAGAUACCCCCGUAGUCCCUGUCUCUUAUAC
rnacentral:rRNA from 1 species